rnacentral:lncRNA from 1 species
UUCUUGAAAGAGGGGCUGUUUCGACAAUAAAGUUGUGCAGUUCGUGGUGCUGAAAACUGGGUCAACGCGCCGACUGACGUCACUGUGGGCCUUGACGAGCAGGUCGUCGA